GAGAAACUCACAUGGAACAACAAAUGUGCUGCUGCUGCUUGUUCUUCCUUAGUAUUCCUUCUUUUGUGACACGGAAAUAGUACAAAGCCGCGUUACGUCACCACAAUGGGAUCAAAUAGCGCGGCCGACAGUCACGAGAAAGCGCGCUACCUCCCGUUACCGAGAAAUUACCGCGAGCCAGUAUCGAACCGGGAAGACCGCGCAAGCACCGUACCAGAGAGUCACCGAGAUCCUAUCCUCUUUACUGCCUUCCGUCUCCUGCUCUGAUUGCGUAGAUAGUGUAGCUUAUCGCAAACAGCCUCGUGAGGGCCAAAAGGUGUGCUGGUGUUUGUGUUUCCUUUGCGUUCAGUGGUGAUGGUGGUGGUGGCUGUAGUAGUAGUAGUAGUAGUAGUAGUAGUAGUAGUAGUAGUAGUCAAACAACCUCUCAAGGUACAACAGGUCUGCUGCUGCCUGCCCUUCCUCAUCGUUCCUCGAGACUUGUGGAUGAACAGGGCGUGUGAAAGGGCAGGUGACGGGCGUGAGGCGGCGUGGCACUGGACGGCACUGGGGCGUGGGGGAUGCGAUGCCAGGCGGGCGGCGGGGUCGUGAGCGAGGCGAGGCGAGGCGAGGCGGGUGGCUGGCUGGUGUGCGCUACUCUCUCUCUCUCUCUCAGUCACCCGCGAGGCACCGUAGAGGAAGGGCCACACCUGCCACUCUCCGCCAGCAACAAGUUAACGGGUGCCGCCGCCAGCCCGCUCUGGGAACACGUGAGCACCGCACUGACCACCACCACGCGACCUCCCAACCCGCACAGCAGUCCGCGCCCUCAGCGACCUGCAGGCGUGGUGAACUUAGCGCAGAACUAAGAAACUUCACGACAGACGCUGCAAAAAGUUGGCCUAAGUUGUGUUUUGGUGUUUUAGAAGCGAGGCGGCGUGGUUUGGGUGAGGCGCCGCGCCCUCACGACCCCUCAUGACCUGGGCCAGGCGCUGAGGCGAGGGACGCACACACGCACACGCACACGCACGCAACUCGCCGCCCGCAAUAGAACAACGCAGACGUGGCCACGCACCGCAGAGGGACGGAGCGAGAGAUUGAGAGCGAGAUAAAGUGAGCGAGACAGAGAGAGAGAGAGAGGAGGGAGAGAAGCUCAAAGUGUAUGUGAGGGAGAAAAGAUCCCACCUUCCUCCUCCUCUUCCUCAUCCUCCCUGUUCUCCUCCACCUCCAAAAUUCCUCGCGGUGUGGAGGGAAAGCCGCGCCCCACGCACCUGGAUACGCCGCCGCACCUGUACGAGAGAUGGAAGGCAACGCAACAGACACGGACUUAGGCUGGGAGGAGAGGGGCCUAAACUCCUCCAGCUCCUCGGCAGAAGAGGGAGAGAAGUUUUUCAUCACAAAUCCAGCAGUGGAGCAGAAGAAGGAGGAAUGUGAUGAGCUGCAUGCACAGAUCCCUCUCCCUGACCCUGCCCUGGGUCCCUACUGCCCAAGGACCUUCGAUGGAUGGGCGUGCUGGAACGACACCCCGGCCAACUCCAGGGUCCACGCGCCCUGCCCUGAUUUCAUCCCAGGCUUCAACCCUUCCCUGUUGGCCUACAAGGAUUGUGACGCGAACGGGACGUGGUUCAAACACCCGGACACCAACGAGCCCUGGUCCAACUACACGACCUGUGUGGACCAUGGACAGCUGGGGCUGCUGCAGAGUGUGAACAACCUGUACAUCGCCGGUUACUCCAUCUCCCUCAUCGCCCUGUGCUGCUCCCUCUUCAUCUUCUGCUUCUUCAAGUCUCUCAAGUGCAAGCGGGUGACGAUCCACAAAAACCUGUUCGUGAGUUUCAUCAUCAACAACGCCAUGUGGCUCAUCUGGUACAAGUGUGUGGUGGAAGACACGAACGUCCUCUUCAUGAACACCGGUCUCUGCCAAGCCCUACACGUCGUGCUGCAAUACUUCCUCGUGUCCAACUACUUCUGGAUGUUCUGCGAGGGUCUCUACCUGCACACCCUCCUUGUGGUGGCCUUCGUGGCUGAGGACAGAAUUAUGAAGUGGUUUUUCCUCCUCGGCUGGGGGAUUCCGGCUGUCCUCAUCACUUUCUACGCAAUAUUCCGAGGCAUCAGCAAGGAACAUAACAAGCACUGCUGGAUGAGCGAAGGACCUUACAACCACAUCCUGAACGUGCCUGUGGUGCUGUCCAUGCUGCUCAACCUCUUCUUCCUCAUCAACAUCGUGAGGGUGCUGGUGACUAAGCUACGUGCUGUCAACACUGGCCCGGACACUCACUCCACCCGCAAGGCUGUCCGCGCCACUCUCAUCCUCAUCCCCCUGCUGGGCCUUCACUACAUUCUGGUGCCCUUCCGCCCCCCCGAGGGAUCCCCAGGCCACGGCGUUUACCUGAUCGUGUCCGCCGUUGCUGCUUCCUUCCAGGGCUUGGGCGUGUCUCUGCUGUUCUGCUUCUUCAAUGGCGAGGUCCUCGGUAUCUUCAAGAAAAAGUGGAACCAACACAAGCUGAUGAAGGACCGGACCAAACUCCACGGGCGCCAUGACCUUCUCGAUGGACACGAUAACAGGACACCCUAGCUUGUGUCCCUCCUCAAACAUGUAAGGUAGGAAGAUGGAGCCUCGGUGCAGCCUGCCUGCCCUGUGUCCCGUGCCUGCCGGAGUGUGUCUGCCCUUGCCAACCCCGUGUGAGAUGCCCUGGAUGUGGUGUUUAUAUUGGAGACUACUGUGUGUGGCUCUCCCUCUCUCUCUCUUUCUGACUGUCUCUCUCUCUGUGUCUGUCUCUCUCUGAUUUUUUUUUUUCUGUAUUCGUUUGUUUAUUUCUUUUAUUCAUUUGUUCAUUUAUUUUUCAGAAUCAAAAGACUUUUCAGAGUUUCUUAAACUUUUUUCCGACGGGUCUCAGCUCCCCCUCCUCGGUAGUCAUAUCUAGGAAGUCCAGCACACACUAACACUGUCUGCCGUCUGCUGCCACAAGGAUAAAGUAACGUACAUGAAGUCAAGCAUGACGGACGGCAACACCACUGUCACCAACUACGGGACCACUAUUGAGGGGGAUGACGUGUAAGGAGCCACGCCUCGCCACACAGCCGCGGGGAGGACGAGGAGACGAGGACGGGGAUAAGACCUGCAGCACACUAUCAAAGAAGUAUGGAAGAAAACGAGGUUGAGGGUGAGCGAAGAAGAAAUACGAAGAAAUAGGAAGAAAUAGAGAAACAAGCACCAAAGAAUUAGACAGACGAGUGUGAGGAUGAGAGAAUAAACAGGAGGAGAUAGAAAGAAUAGAAAAGGUAUGGAGAGACGAGAAGAAUGAAAGAAAACGAGGGUGAGGAUGAGAGAAGAAGAAAUAAGAAUAAAUUAGAAAGAAACAGCGCCAAACUAUCAGACAAACGAGAGUGAGGAUGAAAAAAAUAAGCAGGAGGAAGAGAGAAAGAGCAGAAAAGGUAUGAACAAACGAGGGUGAGGAUGAGAGAAAUGCAAAGACAAAGAAGAACUGAUCUACGCAAUGAGGAUGAGAAAAAAAAAUAGAUGAAAAAUAUAAACUUGCAUCAAAUUAUUAGAAGAUGAAAAGGACAGUGAGAAUGAUGAGUAUGAGAACUGACAAGACAUAGUAAAAAAAGUGAAAUACGCAACGAA